rnacentral:rRNA from 1 species
CAGUCGCCGCGGUAAUACGAAGGGGGCUAGCGUUGCUCGGAAUUACUGGGCGUAAAGGGCGCGUAGGCGGACAGCUUAGUCAGAGGUGAAAGCCCAGGGCUCAACCUUGGAACUGCCUUUGAUACUGGCUGUCUUGAGUUCGGGAGAGGUGAGUGGAACGCCGAGUGUAGAGGUGAAAUUCGUAGAUAUUCGGCGGAACACCAGUGGCGAAGGCGACUCACUGGCCCGAUACUGACGCUGAGGCGCGAAAGCGUGGGGAGCAAACAGGAUUAGAUACCCGCGUAGUCCCUGUCUCUUAUAC